GCGCUCAGAGGUACAGAGCGGAUCUGUAGCUCAGUGCAACCCGUGCUGGCGGGGCUCAGACAUUCAGUUGUGACCGUUUCUGUCAAUAUCUGUUCUAUCUGCUCUGUUUCACUUUUGACAAUCGCUGACGGAUCGAUAGGUCUGAACAGGAGUUCGUCGCGAGCUUGAUUUUCCUUCUUCGAGUUCAACCAUAUGAAUUACUCCCGACGCGUCGCCAUUUGGUUACUGUCGUUAUCUGUACAAAUUAUACAUGCAUGUGCGUAUUGCGGCAAAUUGGAGAUGAUAUCCGUUUGGCUCCUGUUUUUAAAGCUGAUGAGAGCCACAGCUGGUGCACAAAGGUCAUAUGGAAGUGAAGUAAAUGAAGGCAAAAGCACCUCUGUAAAUCAGCAGCAAAAAGAGCAGGAAUACCUCUCUGAAGCAGUUACCAUGGAGACCAACCAGCUUUCAGAAAUGGCUGAUCUAACAGACUGUAAAAUGAAUCCUGGGUGCACAGAGGACCAGAGAUGUCAAUUCACUGAGGAGGUGAAUGAAUGUUUUGCCACAUAUUUCCCAGAGUGCCUGGACACCAAACAGAGCAAUCCCCAUGAAGAUCUUGAUGGGCAAGAAAACAAAGCCAUAAUUAAUGAAUGUGAUAGCUCAGGUGAAUCUGAUGGGAGCACAGACUCUCAAGAAGGCAUUACGGUAAAGGUCAAGGAACAAGAUGAACCAGAUGGCAGAGAAUCUUUGGCCUUUGAGUCUCAUGAAGAGCCUCUUGUGAAAGACAAACCAGAAGAAGAAAUGGAAAUCAACAAUUUCGUUGAUACCCAAGAGGAAGAACAUGAUGAACCUGAAGAGAGGCUGGAAGCACAAGAAGAAUCUGUGCUGGAGCAGCAAAUUAAUGAGUUGGUGAUUUCUGAAAUCCCGAUGGAAUCUUGUCCAGAUAUGGAUCGAGAUGACCUAAGUGACUGCCUGCUAGUGGAGAUGGCCAUCAUUUCGUCAGACAGUGAUGCUGAAGAGCCGUGGAGGUCUUUGGCUUCAUCAGCUGUAGAUAAAGAAGAGAUUGAGGAGAACAGUGAUCUCUUGGGUAUGGAUGAAGCAGAGGUAAACUCAGAAGACCAAGCAAGGCAGGAAGACAAUGACGUGGUUGAGAGCAAUGCUGAACUUGAAGAUGAAGCUCUGGCUUUAAACAUUAAUGAAAGUGAGAUUCUAGAACAACCAGAGUGUCCCACUGAAUGUGAGCUGCAAGAUAUUUCUUUGGACUCUUCGGCCCAUUGCUGCAGUUUAACCAAGAUUGCAGAGGAUGAGGAAGAGCUUGGUAAAACCUCAAAGCACAACCUUCAGCGCCUGUCCUGUUCAACUUCAGAGCUCGACAAAAAGAUGCCAAAAGACUUUUGCGUGGUUCAGGAAAUAAGGAGCGAGAAUGUCAGCACGGAGCAUCUGGAUUUUAGAGAGGUUCGCAAGCAGUGGCAGAAGAUGGAAGAGCAAACAAAAGGUCUGGUGCACCGGCCAGCGAUGAGGCAGGCAUCUUGCCAGGGUGGACACAGCUUCAUGUACACGCCUGUCCGCAACAUUAAUCGCCCCAGAAGAGACCCUGACAUAGAGAGUCUUGGUCUGGGUGAUUACCAGAACACUCAAUUCAGCCCCUGUUCAGAGGACUCUGGUCUAGAUGACACAAGCUAUAGGUCUCCUUAUGAUGAGCCAGAAACUCCAGUGGAGAGGGAGAUUCGUGAAGCUCUCGAUCGAGAGGAGAUUUUCAGACGAGAAAGGGCAAUGGCAAAGAUGUCUGCUGGCGACACUAUACAAAUUAAACCCAAGCCUGGCAUUCUUCACCACAGCAGAUCAGAACCUGGGGAGAAAAGACGGAUGUUUGACACACCGGAGGACAGAUGCAGGUCUCAGAGUUCUCCUAGUGCAAGAACUCCAACUUUGUCCAUCACAGCUUCAUCUGGAAGAAGUCCCACAUACCAUGAAAUGACCGCCAACAAUGUCAUAAUACUUGAGCCGGAUUCGUACCCCAGCAGCCCACGGAACCAAAGAAAAGGUGGGAUGCUUUCUCCAGGGAUGAGCAGUUUUCAAGAAUGGCCAUCCGACAUGAAUAAUGUCAUUAUCCUUGAGACAUCGAAUCUCAUCAUCCGAAGUGCCUCGGAAUUCUGCCUGAGCACUGUAUGUCAAGAGACACAAGAGAGCACCUUUCAGAACAAUCCCUUUUUCAAACUGCGCUCCCACAGCACCCAGUCUCUGGUGGAUCAGGAGAUCAAGUUGGUGAGGCAAAGAGAAGAGGAGCUUAGAAGGCAGAGAGCACAACUAUAUGCAAAGGAGAGAUAUGACACUGUCCUCGUGUCCCCCAGCCAACUGCAGAAUUUCACUUAUGAGAAAACAGUCCUUUCUCUUAUUUGGACACUUUACAGCAGAGGUGCCAGCAAAAUCUAAGUCAUCCCCCUCAUCUCCAUCUAUGGCACGUAAAAUGGAUCACACCACUUUGUCCUGCGACCACAAGUUUUACAGGUGAAGCUUUCUCCUUUAGUUCCCUGAGGCGCCUUACCCUCGAGUCAGACGGAAAAGUGCGCUGGCCCAGAGGUGGGAAGCAGGUAUCUUUGCCAAUCAUCAGCAACAAGACUGAAUGAUUUUCCUAAAUGAAGCAUCGAAGCACAAAUCAAGGUUCCAUUAAAGUAUAAGCAUGUGCAAAUGGUUUUAGAGUAAAACAUUCAUUACUAGUACAAACCUGGAAAUUAAUAGGUGAGUAAAAAUAUUAACAACUGAUGUCAUACCUUUUUUAAUUUUUUGGAUGCUAGUAUUUUCACUCUGAAAUUUAUCCUGGAUAUACUUUUAUAUUAUUGCAGAUGAAGAAUUUAUACCAUAAUGUAUACCUAAAUUGCACUAUGUACAACAAUUACGCCAAACAUUAAGAAAUUUAUUAUUCUAAUUUCACAUUGCGUAACAUGUUAUAUUAACCAUACAGUGGAGAGCAGAAGCAAAUAAAAAUACAUUUAUCUUUGAUUUAAUCUGAUCAAAAGUGCAAUUUAAGACAAGGAAGACCGCUGCUUGGAAUGUCUAAGAGUAUAUUGUGGAUGUAGCUUGCAGAGGUGUUACAAGAAAAGUAGCUGGCUUCUGUACAGUAAUUACAUUGUGAGCCUUUUAAAUAUUUUAUGCUUUGAUUGUCUGGAUAUAAUGUGCAUUUACUCUUCUGUGAAAAUCAUUUAAAAGAUAUGUGAAUUUUACUUCAUAAAAUUCCUGUUUGAAAUGUUUUAAUAGAUAUGUUUCUUCAUUGCAGGAUGUUUUCAAUGCAAUAUUCUGUCCAAACCUUGAAUAAAAUGAAACUGAUAAUGA